UUAUACAUAUUCCUCUGUUAAAAAAGACAUUUAAGAACCCAACAGGCUCCAGGGAAGAACACCAGUGAGUCCACUCCCCCUCCAGCCCACAUGGUCUUGUUGGGGGCGGAGCCUAGCAGCACACUGGAGCAGUAACCAUUUCCCACGGCUCCGACAGCCUAGGGCAGAAACCGGCUGAUAUUAGCUGAUCCACAACCCGCCUGCAGAAAAAGUGCAGGAAAAAAAAAUCCGAGCUCUCUGCUGAUUCUGCAGAUGCCUUUCUUCCAUGCCUCGGGGACGAAACACCGCAAGAGAGGCCUUAC